rnacentral:misc_RNA from 1 species
AAUGUCGUAACAAGGUUUCCGUAGGUGAACCUGCGGAAGGAUCAUUAACAAUCCUAACCGAUUCUUUGCUCCGGUUCGCCAGUCAAAGUCUUAAACCCUUUGUGAAAUCAAAACAUUUGUCUCGUCAGCUGGCUGCGGAACCUUCCUUAACCGAUUUCUCGACCGUGAGCCUGCUGGUGGCACCAAUCCAAAGCUUGUUAUUUCUGAACAGUCUGAAAAAGCAUUUUCAUGAAUGAAUUAAAAG